rnacentral:lncRNA from 1 species
GCAGUUAAAAGGAGUCUGCAUAGACAGAGGGCACAAAUGUGAGUUGAUUAUGUUGGUAUCAUAUUGUGAAGAUUAAAUUAAUUCCCCUGCCCAUUUUUAGAUUUAAUCACCAAAAGUGUAAACAUUCUACUUAAUCUUUAAGUGGGGGAGGUCUGUGACCCACAUGUGCAAUAAUGGGUGAUAAAUCAGAAUCAAACUGACUGCCCCUUGGGCAGUCCUAAACAAAGCUUCAACUGUAAUUGGUAGACAUAAAAUUGGAGGAGGGCACAGGAAGUGAUGUAAUAGAAAGUGUCUUUAAAAGGGAGUUACAGCUUCCUGUGGGAAUUUCUUCUUUGAAGAGUUCUUCAAGAGUUCUUCAGGCUUGGGACUUCUAACUUUUUCUGGGAGUUCUGGAGUUCUUCAUGCUUGGGACUUCUGACUGCUCUCAUUCUUUGGAGUUCUGAGUUCCAGUUGGAGGCUGGUGAAGAAUCUGUUGACUGGACCUGAGACCCUAUACCUGAGAAACAGCUGUGGAACAUAAAGAAUUCUUCAAGUCAGUUCAAGAAGUAUUUAACUGUUUCCAGCUCCAGGUUAUUUCCAGAGUUCUAUGGAACAGAGGUAAGGAGAGACUGACUAUGUGUGGGGCCACCAGUGCAAAAGCAUGGAGAUAAUGAAUGGAGUUCCAAGUAUGAAGAAAGAAGGCCAGAAAUCAAUACUAAAUAAGGAUUCCAAGGUAGAUGAUACACACAUAUUUUUGCCAGAGCAAAUCAGAUGACCAUGAAUUGAAAGCAAGGACAUG